GACGAACGCUGGCGGCGUGCUUAACACAUGCAAGUCGAACGGAAAGGCCCUGCUUUUGUGGGGUGCUCGAGUGGCGAACGGGUGAGUAACACGUGAGUAACCUGCCCUUGACUUUGGGAUAACUUCAGGAAACUGGGGCUAAUACCGGAUAGGAGCUCCUGCUGCAUGGUGGGGGUUGGAAAGUUUCGGCGGUUGGGGAUGGACUCGCGGCUUAUCAGCUUGUUGGUGGGGUAGUGGCUUACCAAGGCUUUGACGGGUAGCCGGCCUGAGAGGGUGACCGGCCACAUUGGGACUGAGAUACGGCCCAGACUCAUACGGGAGGCAGCAGUGGGGAAUAUUGCACAAUGGGCGGAAGCAUGAUGCAGCAACGCCGCGUGCGGGAUGACGGCCUUCGGGUUGUAAACAGCUUUCGCCUGUGACGAAGCGUGAGUGACGGUAAUGGGUAAAGAAGCACCGGCUAACUACGG
rnacentral:rRNA from 1 species